rnacentral:tRNA from 1 species
GGCCCGUUGGUGAAGCGGUUAACACACUAGGUUUUCAUCCUAGCAUACACGGGUUCGAUUCCCGUACGGGUCACCA